rnacentral:rRNA from 1 species
CCUACGGGCGGCAGCAGUGGGGAAUAUUGGACAAUGGGCGAAAGCCUGAUCCAGCCAUGCCGCGUGUGUGAAGAAGGCCUUCGGGUUGUAAAGUACUUUCAGUGGGGAAGAAAGCCUUGGGGCUAAUACCCUCGAGGAAGGACAUCACCCACAGAAGAAGCACCGGCUAACUCCGUGCCAGCAGCCGCGGUAAUACGGAGGGUGCGAGCGUUAAUCGGAAUUACUGGGCGUAAAGCGCGCGUAGGCGGUCUGAUAAGCCGGUUGUGAAAGCCCCGGGCUCAACCUGGGAACGGCAUCCGGAACUGUCAGGCUAGAGUGCAGGAGAGGAAGGUAGAAUUCCCGGUGUAGCGGUGAAAUGCGUAGAGAUCGGGAGGAAUACCAGUGGCGAAGGCGGCCUUCUGGACUGACACUGACGCUGAGGUGCGAAAGCGUGGGUAGCAAACAGGAUUAGAUACCCCUGUAGUC